rfam:Flavobacterium sp. FPG59 Contig_187, whole genome shotgun sequence.
UUUGCGUUAGGGAUAGCAGUGUAAAUCCUUUUUUGAGUCCCGAAAUUAUCGGGACUCAAAAAAGAUUGAAACGAAUAGCCCGACCCGUA